rnacentral:rRNA from 1 species
GAUGAACGCUAGCUACAGGCUUAACACAUGCAAGUCGAGGGGCAUCAUGACUGAGGUUUACCUUAGUUGAUGGCGACCGGCGAAUGGGUGAGUAACACGUAUCCAACCUGCCCGUUACUGGAGGAUAGCCCUCCGAAAGGAGAAUUAAUACUCCAUGUUGUGCUGAAUUCGCAUGCUUUCGGCACUAAAGAUUCAUCGGUAACGGAUGGGGAUGCGUCCGAUUAGGUAGUAGGCGGGGUAACGGCCCACCUAGCCUUCGAUCGGUAGGGGUUCUGAGAGGAAGGUCCCCCACAUUGGAACUGAGACACGGUCCAAACUCCUACGGGAGGCAGCAGUGAGGAAUAUUGGUCAAUGGGCGCAAGCCUGAACCAGCCAAGUAGCGUGAGGGAAGACUGCCCCUACGGGUUGUAAACCUCUUUUGUUUGGGAAUAAAGUGCGGGACGUGUCCCGCAUUGCAUGUACCAUUUGAAUAAGGACCGGCUAAUUCCGUG